GGCGGCGUGCCUAACACAUGCAAGUCGAACGCGAAAGUCCCGCAAGGGAUGAGUAGAGUGGCAAACGGGUGAGUAACACGUGGGUGACCUGCCUUCGAGUGGGGGAUAACGUUCCGAAAGGGACGCUAAUACCGCAUGACAUCCUGCCUUUGAACAGGCGGAAAUUAAAGCCGGGGAUCGCAAGACCUGGCGCUUGAAGAGGGGCCCGCGCCUGAUUAGCUAGUUGGUGGGGUAACGGCUCACCAAGGCGACGAUCAGUAUCCGGCCUGAGAGGGCGGACGGACACACUGGGACUGAGACACGGCCCAGACUCCUACGGGAGGCAGCAGUGGGGAAUUGUUCGCAAUGGGCGCAAGCCUGACGACGCAACGCCGCGUGGAGGAUGAAGACCUUCGGGUCGUAAACUCCUUUCGAUCGAGACGAACGGCCCUGGGGUGAACAAUCCCGGGGAUUGACGGUACCGAGAGAAGAAGCCCCGGCUAACUCCG
rnacentral:rRNA from 1 species